rnacentral:lncRNA from 1 species
AAAUUUUAUUUUGGCCAGGAGCUGAAGUUGGUUGUUUAGUAGUAGUAGUUUGAGUAGUGACCGAAGUAGUAGUCUGGUGUGUGGGUGCAAGAGUAGUUGGGGAAGAAUUAGGUGUGGGUGGGGCAGCUGUGGUCUCUGGUGGAGCUGAGGCGGAUGAUGGGUCUAGGGUAGUUGCAGAAGGUGUGGGUGGGGCAGCUGUGGUCUCUGGUGGAGCUGAGGAAGAUGGUGGAGCUGGUGUAGUUGCAGGAGGUGUGGGUGGGGCAGCUGUGGUCUCUGGUGGAGCUGAGGAAGAUGGUGGAGCUUGUGUAGUUGCAGAAGGUGUGGGUGGGGCAGCUGUGGUGUCUUGUGGAGCUGGGGAAUUCACUGGUGCUAAUGUAGCUACAGAAGAGCUUGUGUUAACAUUUUCUCUUGAAGAUAUGGUGGUGGCAUUCUGGGGAAGAAAAGUCACAUUUGGAAGGGUAGUAAUUUUGGUGGAAGCUUAGGCCUACAGCGUUUGUGCAGACAUUUAUAGGACUUUCUAAUGAACGGCUUCUGGUGAGCUAGCA